GCUCAGCAAAGGGAGGAGAAGUCACUUCUAGAGAACCUCUUCCCAAGUGAGCAAGGAAUCAAGACCAAAGAUGUUAGUGCUCUGGUCCUUGGUUUCCCUUCUAUCCAUCUAUAUUGGAGGUCUCGAUGGUCUGUCCAGUGGCUUAAUUGAUACUGUAAGCUCAUCUGUGCUUGCUGGCGCUCCAACAUGGAUGCAAAAGGUGGCACCUCUCGUGGCUCAACUUCCACCAGAGGCACAAAGCUGGGUAAUGUCACCUGAGGCCUAUGAGAUCAUAUCAACGAUGCCAGACUUGUCAAAGUCACAUGUGUUAUCUGAACUUCCAAAGAUAUCAUCACGCUUGUCUCGACUUAUUCCAAAGAAGGGACUACUUCCAAUGCAUCUUGAAACUCGAGGCCAACGAAAGAAAAAGCUUCCCAAAGAUCCACCUGAAGCAAAAAACCAAAGCUGUGAAGCUUCAGCGUGGAGAUUUUACUCUAUACAGGAAAUGGAUACCGUUAUGAAUGCCUCUCUGAAAAAAAAGACAGAAGAAAUGAUCAAAUGUUCUAAGGUUACGUUGGCAGGACUGAUUGGAGAACUUUUAUGUGGAUUAAUAUCUAAUGGGGGCCUCUCUGGUCUUCCUGACGUGUUAGGCAUGCUUACUAGUGGUCCCCUUUCUGGUUCACCGUUAAACCUACCUGGUACUGACAUACUUGGGGGAAAUUCCAAGUCCCCUCUCGGAGGACUAACUGGUCUUGCUGAAGGUGAAAAUCCGGCGGAUGAAAAGAAUCUUGGUGGCUUGACGAAAAUGCCUUUAGGGAACAGCAAAGAUUCAGAAGAAAGCAAAGAGGGAAAUGAAGAUGAACCUAAAUCGAACCUGGAUAAUGUUUUACCAGGAAAACCAGA
rnacentral:lncRNA from 1 species